rnacentral:misc_RNA from 1 species
GAACUGCGAUAAGUAAUGUGAAUUGCAGAAUUCAGUGAAUCAUCGAGUCUUUGAACGCACAUUGCGCCCCCUGGCAUUCCGGGGGGCAUGCCUGUCCGAGCGUCAUUGCUGCCCUUCAAGCCCGGCUUGUGUGUUGGGUCGUCGUCCCCUCCGGGGGACGGGCCCCAAAGGCAGCGGCGGCACCGCGUCCGGUCCUCGAGCGUAUGGGGCUUUGUCACCCGCUCGAUAAGGACCGGCCGGGCGCCAGCCGGCGUCUCCAACCCUUUUUUCUCAGGUUGACCUCGGAUCAGGUAGGGAUACCCGCUGAACUUAAGC